UACGGAGGGUGCAAACGUUGCUCGGAAUUAUUGGGCGUAAAGCGCUCGUAGGCGGCUUGUUAAGUCGGGUGUGAAAGCCCAGGGCUCAACCCUGGAAGUGCACUCGAAACUGGCGAGCUUGAAUAUGGAAGAGGGUCGCGGAAUUCCCGGUGUAGAGGUGAAAUUCGUAGAUAUCAGGAGGAACACCAGUGGCGAAAGCGGCGACCUGGGCCAAUAUUGACGCUGAGGAGCGAAAGCGUGGGGAGCAAACAGG
rnacentral:rRNA from 1 species